CGGCUCUGGGUCUGUGGGGUG
rnacentral:miRNA from 1 species